rnacentral:rRNA from 2 species
AAAUUGAAGAGUUUGAUCAUGGCUCAGAUUGAACGCUGGCGGCAGGCCUAACACAUGCAAGUCGAACGGUAACAGGAAGCAGCUUGCUGCUUCGCUGACGAGUGGCGGACGGGUGAGUAAUGUCUGGGAAACUGCCUGAUGGAGGGGGAUAACUACUGGAAACGGUAGCUAAUACCGCAUAAUGUCGCAGGACCAAAGAGGGGGACCUUCGGGCCUCUUGCCAUCAGAUGUGCCCAGAUGGGAUUAGCUUGUUGGUGAGGUAACGGCUCACCAAGGCGACGAUCCCUAGCUGGUCUGAGAGGAUGACCAGCCACACUGGAACUGAGACACGGUCCAGACUCCUACGGGAGGCAGCAGUGGGGAAUAUUGCACAAUGGGCGCAAGCCUGAUGCAGCCAUGCCGCGUGUAUGAAGAAGGCCUUCGGGUUGUAAAGUACUUUCAGCGGGGAGGAAGGGGAUAAGGCUAAUAACCUUGUUCAUUGACGUUACCCGCAGAAGAAGCACCGGCUAACUCCGUGCCAGCAGCCGCGGUAAUACGGAGGGUGCAAGCGUUAAUCGGAAUUACUGGGCGUAAAGCGCACGCAGGCGGUCUGUCAAGUCGGAUGUGAAAUCCCCGGGCUCAACCUGGGAACUGCAUUCGAAACUGGCAGGCUUGAGUCUUGUAGAGGGGGGUAGAAUUCCAGGUGUAGCGGUGAAAUGCGUAGAGAUCUGGAGGAAUACCGGUGGCGAAGGCGGCCCCCUGGACAAAGACUGACGCUCAGGUGCGAAAGCGUGGGGAGCAAACAGGAUUAGAUACCCUGGUAGUCCACGCCGUAAACGAUGUCUACUUGGAGGUUGUGCCCUUGAGGCGUGGCUUCCGGAGCUAACGCGUUAAGUAGACCGCCUGGGGAGUACGGCCGCAAGGUUAAAACUCAAAUGAAUUGACGGGGGCCCGCACAAGCGGUGGAGCAUGUGGUUUAAUUCGAUGCAACGCGAAGAACCUUACCUGGUCUUGACAUCCACGGAAGUUUUCAGAGAUGAGAAUGUGCCUUCGGGAACCGUGAGACAGGUGCUGCAUGGCUGUCGUCAGCUCGUGUUGUGAAAUGUUGGGUUAAGUCCCGCAACGAGCGCAACCCUUAUCCUUUGUUGCCAGCGGUCCGGCCGGGAACUCAAAGGAGACUGCCAGUGAUAAACUGGAGGAAGGUGGGGAUGACGUCAAGUCAUCAUGGCCCUUACGACCAGGGCUACACACGUGCUACAAUGGCGCAUACAAAGAGAAGCGACCUCGCGAGAGCAAGCGGACCUCAUAAAGUGCGUCGUAGUCCGGACUGGAGUCUGCAACUCGACUCCAUGAAGUCGGAAUCGCUAGUAAUCGUGGAUCAGAAUGCCACGGUGAAUACGUUCCCGGGCCUUGUACACACCGCCCGUCACACCAUGGGAGUGGGUUGCAAAAGAAGUAGGUAGCUUAACCUUCGGGAGGGCGCUUACCACUUUGUGAUUCAUGACUGGGGUGAAGUCGUAACAAGGUAACCGUAGGGGAACCUGCGGUUGGAUCACCUCCUUA